UGGGGCGUAGACAAGUGGCAAGUCACCGGGUUUUGAUCCCGGCAUUCGUAGGUUCGAAUCCUACCGCCCCAA
rnacentral:tRNA from 1 species